CAGCAGCCGCGGGAAAACGUAGGGUGCGAGCGUUAAUCGGAAUUACUGGGCGUAAAGCGUGCGCAGGCGGUUCGUUAAGACAGAUGUGAAAUCCCCGGGCUUAACCUGGGAACUGCAUUUGUGACUGGCGAGCUAGAGUAUGGCAGAGGGGGGUAGAAUUCCACGUGUAGCAGUGAAGUGCGUAGAGAUGUGGAGGAAUACCGAUGGCGAAGGCAGCCCCCUGGGCCAAUACUGACGCUCAUGCACGAAAGCGUGGGGAGCAAACAGGAUUAGAUACCCCGGUAGUCCCUGUCUCUUAUAC
rnacentral:rRNA from 1 species